rnacentral:rRNA from 1 species
UGCCAGCCGCCGCGGUAAUACAGAGAGUGCAAACGUUGUUCGGAAUCACUGGGCUUAAAGAGCACGUAGGCGGCAUUGUAAGUGUGAGGUGAAAUCCCACGGCUCACCCUGGAACUGCCUCCAAAACUCCCAGUCUUGAGUUCGAGAGAGGUGAGUGGAACUCCGAGUGUAGAGGUGAAAUUCGUAGAUAUUCGGAAGAACACCAGUGGCGAAGGCGACCAUCUGGGACGGAACUGACGCUGAUGAACGAAAGCUAGGGUAUCAAACGGGAUUAGAUA